UGGGGAAUCUUGCGCAAUGGGCGAAAGCCUGACGCAGCGACGCCGCGUGGGUGACGAAGGCCUUCGGGUUGUAAAGCCCUGUGGGGUAGAACGAACUGGCAUCGGGCUAAUAUCCCGGUGUCUUGACGGUACUGCCUUAGCAAGCAUCGGCUAACUCUGUGCCAGCAGCCGCGGUAAGACAGAGGAUGCGAACGUUGCUCGGAUUUACUGGGCGUAAAGCGCGUGUAGGCGGUCUCGUUAGUCGGGUGUGAAAGCCCCGGGCUCAACCCGGGAAGUGCACCCGAUACUGCGAGACUGGGGUACUGAAGAGGAGAGCGGAAUUCCCGGUGUAGAGGUGAAAUUCGUAGAUAUCGGGAGGAACACCAGUGGCGAAGGCGGCUCUCUGGGCAGAUACCGACGCUGAGACGCGAAAGCGUGGGGAGCAAACAGG
rnacentral:rRNA from 1 species